rnacentral:rRNA from 1 species
AGAACGAACGCUGGCGGCAUGCCUAACACAUGCAAGUCGAACGUGAUCCAUGACUUCGGUUGUGGUGAAAGUGGCAAACGGGUGAGUAAUGCGUGGGAAUCUGCCCAGAGGUAGGGAAUAAACCGCGGGAAACUGCGGCUAAUACCCUAUGUGCCCUACGGGGCAAAGAUUUAUCGCCUUUGGAGGAGCCCGCGUCGGAUUAGGUAGUUGGUAGGGUAACGGCCUACCAAGCCUACGAUCCGUAGCUGGUCUGAGAGGAUGAUCAGCCACACUGGGACUGAGAUACGGCCCAGACUCCUACGGGAGGCAGCAGUGGGGAAUAUUGGACAAUGGGGGCAACCCUGAUCCAGCAAUGCCGCGUGAGUGAUGAAGGCCUUCGGGUUGUAAAGCUCUUUCGGCGGGAAGAUGAUGACGGUACCGCAGAAGAAGCCCGGCUAACUUCGUGCCAGCAGCCGC